rnacentral:misc_RNA from 1 species
AAGCAACUAAAGCCCUUGAAGCCUUAAUGGGUUUUCGAUCGAUCGCGGGUGCAGCAACCCUCCCUCUCUCUUCGACGAAAACAGACUAAACUGUAUAUGUAUAAAUAUACACGACUUUGAACCACUUUACAAAGAUGAUAAUUGAUAAGGAUGCUCGCUGACUGAACCCUUUUAGACGCUUCCCCUUCUUCCUUAUCAUCUUCCUCUCCUCUUCUCUAUUAUAAUCUAUUUUCUUACUGACCCACCUUCUGUUCGUAUUGUGGUUGUUGGAAUUUCAUUUCUUUUUUUUGAUUUCCUCAUUAAUUUUUGUUGGUUUUUCCCCUUUUGUGGAUUUAAUUUUGGGUUUUGUUUCUACGGGUCUAAAAGCCUGAAGCUUGUGAUUGGACCUUGCGCUUGGCUAUCCUGAAGAUCCAAGCAUUUUCCAGUUCGGAAUUGAUUUUCUGAUGGAUGCAGAUUCAGAAAGAACUUCACAAGAUGUGCCUCUCUUUGCUGCUCAUGGCCAUGCAGAUGGUUUAGUGGUUGACCAUUCUGUCUACCCAGCAGCAUGUGUGCUGUGCAGAAGAACUUUUGCACCUGAUAAUGAUGAUCUUGAAACUAUAAAUAUAUGUGGGGACUGUAAAUUUUUGCUUCUCGAAGAUCCUGGGGACACCACACUUGAUUCUCUUCAGAGAAGGCCACGCAGAGGAAGAAGAACUAGGUACAGCAGCUCUGAAUCAAUUGAAAAUCUUUUUUCACAACAGUUAUCACAUAUGAUUAAUCAGGCGAGGCAAAACCAGUCCAUUGCGUCUGGUCAUGAUAAUCCAUCUGUAGAUGGAGAUACUUCUGUUAGACUAUUGCAGCACACAAGCUCCCAUACAACACCAACUGGUUCUAGAAGAUGGCGGCGGGUUCUCUCGGACACUGAAAGUGAGGGUUUUGAUAAUUUGGAUUCGCUUUAUGGUGAGAGUGAAACAACUCCCAGUGUUAGUUGGUCAAGGGUUUAUCAUGGUGAGAGUGAUGCCAUUUCUUUUAGUGCAUAUGGAGGGGACUCUGAUGUAGAUGCUGAUGGACAUAGUUAUGUGGAUACUGAGAUGUUUAUUCGACCAGAUGAGGGAAGCAAUGUUGACAGUGAUACUGACAUUGAUCCAAUGCAUGCUGGUCUCAACCAAUGGAACUCAGAUGACGAGGAAGAGGAAGAAGA